rnacentral:lncRNA from 1 species
CACCUGAAUUGGAGCGGAGGCGCCCUCGAGGCCGGGUCAAAUUUGUCAAGAUGUCCACGAUCCCGAGACACUUUGGCCUGAAAUACAAAGAGGAAUCGUAUAUGUUUAAAGAGCUUGAGAAAGUUCGGCAGGAAACUAAAAAGGAUUUUCUCCGAUUCAAGCAGAAGCUGGCCUCCAAGCCGGCUGUAGAUGAAAGCCCAGUCCACA